rnacentral:rRNA from 1 species
UAGGGAAUCUUCCACAAUGGACGCAAGUCUGAUGGAGCAACGCCGCGUGAGUGAAGAAGGUUUUCGGAUCGUAAAGCUCUGUUGUUGGUGAAGAAGGAUAGAGGCAGUAACUGGUCUUUAUUUGACGGUAAUCAACCAGAAAGUCACGGCUAACUACGUGCCAGCAGCCGCGGUAAUACGUAGGUGGCAAGCGUUGUCCGGAUUUAUUGGGCGUAAAGCGAGCGCAGGCGGAAUGAUAAGUCUGAUGUGAAAGCCCACGGCUCAACCGUGGAACUGCAUCGGAAACUGUCAUUCUUGAGUGCAGAAGAGGAGAGUGGAACUCCAUGUGUAGCGGUGGAAUGCGUAGAUAUAUGGAAGAACACCAGUGGCGAAGGCGGCUCUCUGGUCUGCAAACUGACGCUGAGGCUCGAAAGCAUGGGUAGCGAACAGGAUUAGAUACCCUGGUAGUCCAUGCCGUAAAACGAUGAGCGCUAGGUGUUGGG